UGAGCAAUCUGCCCUUCACAUCGGAAUAACCAUUGGAAACGAUGGCUAAUACCGAAUAUGACUUCGGAUCGCAUGAUCUGAAGUGGAAAGCUCCGCCGGUGAAGGAUGAGCUCGCGGCCUAUCAGCUUGUCGGUGAGGUAAUAGCUCACCAAGGCGAUGACGGGUAGCCGGCCUGAGAGGGUGACCGGCCACACUGGGACUGAGACACGGCAGA
rnacentral:rRNA from 1 species